rnacentral:lncRNA from 1 species
AUCUUGAAAACGGAAAAUAAAAACAGCAGACCUAUGAAGGUCGAAGGGGAAGAAAAGCUGUAUCGAUUGUUGAGAUCUGGCGACUUGUUUAAAUUUCAUCAGCCUCACUUCUAUGAACUCUCAGGACAAACUGCAACAGAGUCACAUCGAGUUGAGACUUCUCCAAGGGCCAUGGGGUUGACAUCUGUAUUCUCAGGCCUCACGUGUACCAGCUCUCUGCUCUCCUUUGCCUUGGGACGUUCCAUCCCUGGAAGUUUCCCUGCCCACAUCUUUGUAGAGAGUCCAUUCUCCAAGCUUCAGUGUGUCAUCUGUGAGGACCGUGACCCACCUGGUACAUCGCCUCAGGGCAUUCAUUUCAGGCUCCUUCUAAAUGGCCAAGGAUCAGAGGGAAACAGACCAUUUUCUAUUGUGACAAAGAGAGAACCCAGGAAAGGGGCAGUGUUUUUCCCCUCACAGGUGAUGGAGUUUUUAUAAAGAAUGCAGCGGAUAAUGGCAGGCUUGUCCUCUGAACAGAUGGUGAUGGUCUUGUU